rnacentral:SRP_RNA from 1 species
GCUGGGUGUGGUGGCUCACACCUGUAAUCCCAGCACUUUGGGAGGCUGAGGUGGGAGGAUCACUUGAGGUCAGGAGUUGGAAACAAGCCUGGCCAACAUGGUGAAACCCCAUCUCUA